UGGGAAGAGCUCAACUUUGAAAUCUGGCACCUUUGGUGUCCGAGUUGUAGUCUCGAGAAGUGUUUUCCGCGCUGGACCAUGUACGAGUCUAUUGGAAUAUAGCGUCAGAGAGGGUGAGAAUCCCAUUCAUGACAUGGACUACCAGUGCUUUGUGAUACACUUUCGA
rnacentral:rRNA from 1 species